rnacentral:rRNA from 1 species
UCCAGCAGCCAUUUAACCUUUAAACUCACAGCUGGCAGCCCACUGAAGCUCAGCAGGUGUGAGCCUGGCCAGUACCUGGAUAGGAGACCUCCUGGGAAAAACUAAGGUUGCUGCUGGAA